CAACAGGAUUUUUUAAAAUCCACCCCGCAUUCAAAGAAUGGAUAUCU
rfam:Thalassiosira oceanica strain CCMP1005 To_g39571, whole genome shotgun sequence.